rnacentral:rRNA from 1 species
GACGAACGCUGGCGGCAGGCCUAACACAUGCAAGUCGAGCGGACCUUUCGGGGUCAGCGGCGGACGGGUGAGUAACGCGUGGGAAUAUGCCCUUCUCUACGGAAUAGUCCUGGGAAACUGGGGGUAAUACCGUAUACGCCCUUUGGGGGAAAGAUUUAUCGGGGAAGGAUUAGCCCGCGUUGGAUUAGGUAGUUGGUGGGGUAAUGGCCUACCAAGCCGACGAUCCAUAGCUGGUUUGAGAGGAUGAUCAGCCACACUGGGACUGAGACACGGCCCAGACUCCUACGGGAGGCAGCAGUGGGGAAUCUUAGACAAUGGGGGCAACCCUGAUCGAGCCAUGCCGCGUGAGUGAUGAAGGCCUUAGGGUUGUAAAGCUCUUUCAGCUGGGAAGAUAAUGACGGUACCAGCAGAAGAAGCCCCGGCUAACUCCGUG